UACGUAGGGGGCUAGCGUUGCUCGGAAUUACUGGGCGUAAAGCGCACGUAGGCGGCCUUUUAAGUCGGGGGUGAAAUCCUGGAGCUCAACUCCAGAACUGCCUUCGAUACUGGAAGACUUGAGUCCGGGAGAGGUGAGUGGAACUGCGAGUGUAGAGGUGAAAUUCGUAGAUAUUCGCAAGAACACCAGUGGCGAAGGCGGCUCACUGGUCCGGUACUGACGCUGAGGUGCGAAAGCGUGGGGAGCAAACAGG
rnacentral:rRNA from 1 species